rnacentral:rRNA from 1 species
GACGAACGCUGGCGGCGUGCUUAACACAUGCAAGUCGUACGGUAAGGCCCUUUCGGGGGUACACGAGUGGCGAACGGGUGAGUAACACGUGAGUAACCUGCCCACAACUUUGGGAUAACGCUAGGAAACUGGUGCUAAUACUGGAUAUGUGCUCCUGCUGCAUGGUGGGGGUUGGAAAGCUCCGGCGGUUGUGGAUGGACUCGCGGCCUAUCAGCUUGUUGGUGGGGUAGUGGCCUACCAAGGCGGCGACGGGUAGCCGGCCUGAGAGGGUGACCGGCCACAAUGGGAAUGAGAUACGGCCCAGAAUCCUAAGGGAGGCAGCAGUGGGGAAUAUUGCACAAUGGGCGCAAGCCUGAUGCAGCAACGCCGCGUGCGGGAUGACGGCCUUCGGGUUGUAAACCGCUUUCAGCAGGGACGAAGCUUUUUGUGACGGUACCUGCAGAAGAAGCACCGGCUAACUACGUG